rnacentral:lncRNA from 1 species
CGUCGGGCUGCGCCUCCGCGCUGCGCUGGCUUCCUCCUGGCCCCGGGGCGGAAGCGGUCACGCAGGGAAGCGGAGAGCCGCGGGUCACCCGCGCUCGGGUCCAGCAGUCGCUGCCUCCCACCCACGGGAGUCUGGCCCAGCGGGCGCACAGCUCGCGUUUGUUGAAUGAAUGCACACAACGAACGGGGAUCCUCACCUGUGCCUCGGACCCACGUCCGGGCCCGCGGACCCGGGAUCCAGUGCCCGGACCUGCGGACCCGGGAUCCAGUGCCUGGACCAGAAGUCUGCCCCUGCGGGCCCGACAUGUAAUGCUGCAGACCCACAUCCAGUACUGCAGAGCGAGAACCAGUGCUGUAGACCUCAGGCCCAGUGCUCAGACCCACGUCCAGGACUUUGACCCGAUCGACGUCUAGGCCUGCAGACCGAGGUCCAGGGCUCAGACGCGGGAACUGGUUCUGUAGCCUGGAGCUCCAGUGCCACAGACCUGCGUCCAGACCUGACAGCAGAAGAAUGCUGGGGGCCAGUGUGAGGGUACUGGCAGGAGUUCGGUUCUGAACUGCAGUUCUCAAAAUAUCUUUGCUUGAAAGGAGACAGCGGGCAGGCCUUGGGGGCCAGCAGUUCUGUGCUCUGACUUCAGCCCUGCUCCUGUGGUGCGGCGUUGGGAGCUGGACAGUUAUACUCACCUACUUUUCAAGGGUUGUUACGAGGAUUCAAUAAAAUAAUACAUGGUUCAACCUCAAUAUUCAGAGGUUCCCUACUGCAAAUUCACCUACUCGCCAAGAUGUAUUUGUAACUCCAACAUCGGUCCUUCUGACACUUGCACGGUCACUCAGGGACGGGUGCAAAACCGUGAAGUUGGUCACCCAACAUGCGUGGCCACAGCUGAGGUGAGACACGGCUGCGAUGUGCCUUCUUGUUUCAGCUCAUGCUGCAAACCAGAGCCAUUUUCCUGCUCCACUUAGGGCUACAUUUUUUUUUUCACAUACUUAGGCUUUUUCUUGGUGAUUUCAUAGUUUUAAGCAGAUUUCAAGGAGUUCCUGUCAUGGCGCAGUGGAAAACGAAUCAGACUAGGAACCAUAAAGUUGCGGGUUCGAUCCGACGAGCAAGGUCAGUGGGUUAAGGAUCUGGCGUUGCCAUGAGCUGUGGUGUAGGUCACGCAGCUCGGAUCCCACAUUGCUGUGGCUGUGGUGUAGGCCGGCGGCUACAGCUCCGAUUCAGCCCCUGGUCUGGGAACCUCCAUAUGCCACAGGUGCUGCCAAAAAUUACUUAAUUAAUUUAAUAGAUCUCAAGUCUAGUGCUGCUGUGCUGUCCAGCGUCCUAAGAACAAGACGGCUUCGACCUGCCUUAUGGCGAAAAAAUGUAUUGGAAAAGCUUCGUUCUGGCUGAGUUACAUGCUGGUGGCUGUGAGUUACAUGUUAAGGAAUCAGUAAGGCGCACAGAGCAGACCAGGCUAUGGGUUGAUCCACUGAGGAAAGUGCUGUCAGGCUUGAAGGACCCCGACCUGUGUCUCCCUCGGAAGCAGAGCCUCAGUCUUCCUAAUCCAGUGUUUGCGGCAACUUGCAGGUAACCUGCAGAAAACAAGAAUUCACUGUACGUGUAAACACACAGGCCCACUUCGUGUCAACCGAACAGAUGUUGGGUUUUGCAGGUAUAAUCGCUAGGGUUGUUUCGUCAUGUGUGAUUUCUGCUCUGGGUCGCUGUCUCCCUUCCCAUCUGUGGAAGGAAAGCCUAAAUGCAGUUGGUCCUGUUGCGAGAGUUCUGUGACAUGGAGCCACGAGGCCACAGAGGAAGGUGACAGACAAGCCUCAGCCUGGAUGGAAUCUCACCUUUGACCUGAUGAAGUGUCCAGAACACCUGCCAGAAACUCAAGAUACUUAUCGGACUCUCACCCUAAAAUAACUUGGAGCAGUCUGUCUAUUUAUUGGACCCCUGCCCUGAACCACUUACGAUGCCAUAAGGAUAUUCCUUAAGGAUGAGUAUUUUCUGACUGGCAUCUGUCUCUCACUCACCCUGCAACUUUUUAUUUUUUAUGGCCACACCUGCAGCAUAUGGAAGUUCCUGGGCUGGGGGUUGAAUCAGAGCUGCGGCUGAGGGCUACACCACAGCCAUGGCUACACCAGAUCCUUAACCUGCUGAGCAAGGCCAGGGAUCAAACCUGCAUCCUCAGGGACACUAUGAGCCACCCACUGAGCCACGAUAGGAACAACCACCACCAGGCAAAUUGUAACAGCCUCGUUGCUUUUUUCCCUGUUUUUCUCCUUGCCUGGCUGUCUGUCUUUGUAAGCUCUGAUCCUUUCUUUUCCUUGGAGAAAGUAGUUGCAUCUGAAUCUGGGUCUCCUGGAGUGCAAUUCUUUUUUUAAUUACUCAAUGAAUUUUGUUACAUUUAUAGUUGUACAACGAUGGUCACAACCCAAUUUUAUAGCAUUCCCACCCCAAACCCCAGCCCAUCCCCCCACCCCUCAUCCUGUCUCCUUUGGAAACCAUCGGUCUGUUCUGCAAAGAAGUUCAUUGUGUCCUUUUUCUUUAGAUUCCACAUGUAAGUGAUAGCAUUUGGUGGUGGUGUCUCACUAUCUGACUGACUUCACUUAGCCUGAUAAUUUCUAGGUCCAUCCAUGUUGCUGCCAAUGCCAUUAUUUCUUUCCUUUUAAUGGCUGAGUAAUAUUCCAUUGUGUAUAUGGACCACAUCUUCUUUAUCCACUCCUCUGUCGAUGGACAUUUAGGAUGUUUCCGUCUCUUGGCUAUUGCAAAUAGUGCUGCAAUGAACACUGGAGUACAUGUAUCUUUUGAGUAGUGGUUUUCUCUGGAUAGACACCCAGGAGUGGGAUUGUUGGAUCAAAUGGUAGUUCUAUUUUUAGUUUUCUGAGGAACCUCCAUACUAUUUUCCAGAGUGGUUGCACCAAUUUACAUUCCCACCAACAGUGUAAUAGGGUUCCUUUUCUCCACACUCUCCAGCAUUAAUUGUUUGUGGACUUUUUGAUGAUGGCCAUUCUGGCCAGUGUAAGGCGGUACCUCAUAGUGGCUUUGAUUUGCAUUUCUCUAAUAAUGAGUGAUGUUGAACAUCUUCUCAUGUGUUUUUGGCCGUCAUACGUCUUUUUUGGAGAAUUGUCUGUUUAGACCUUCUGCCCAUUUUUUGAUGGGGUUGUUUGUUUUUUUGGUAUUGAGCUGCAGGAGGUGUUUAUAAAUGUUGUAGAUUAAUCCCUUGUCAGAUACUUCAUUUGCAAAUAUUUUCUCUCAUUCUGUGGGUUGCAAUUCUUAAGACCCCAAGUAAACGUCUUAUGUGCAGCCUCCUGCAUUCUUUUUAUUUUACGUAUUUUUUUGCCUCACCAAGCCAUGGGCAAGUCCUGGGCCAGGGAUCAAACUCUCGCCCCAGCAGUGACAACGCCAGAUCCUUAACCUGCUGUGCCACAGGGGAACUCCUGCAUUCUUUCUUUCGCUCAUGCCUCCUGGUGAACAAUGGAACAGUCUGCAGGGAAGCCAGGACCUCUUGCCCAUAAUCCUAGGAAAAAACCUAGGCUCUUCCUAGCUGCUUCCUCUUCCUGCUUCUUGGCCACAGAGCUUCCGGAGCCAGUGGCUUUUCCAAACACAAGGUACUCAGACAAGUAGGAGACGGUUCCAAAUGGUGAGACAAGGCUUGAGAGUGACUCUCCUGGACCCUGGAUGAGAGUUCUGGUCCAAGCCCCCGGCCAGAGUCGGGGAGACAAUAGCCAGCUCUGGUGGGAGAGCCCCUGGUCUGGGAGGCAGAGGUUGCCCUUGGGGAAAGGGGGGAGGGGAGGCCGCCCCUCCCACGACAGGACCUCUGUGCCCAGGGGAGCCCCGGCACAGAGCACAUGGGUCCACCAGCUGACUGUGGUCAAAGAGGCUGGUCCCAGGGGGCCUUAGGAGACUUAACACUGAAUAAAGGCAUGUUGGAACCUUUCUCCAGUGGCAACGUUUUAAACAUUUUGAAACAAAUAUAAUAUAAAGCAUCUCAAAUUUCCUGUUCUCAUUUCUUAGCUUUCAUACAGUUCUUUGUAGUAAAACAUAUCAGACACUCUCACUAGACAAUUCAGGUAGGAAACUACACUUGAAUCUGAACCCCUAAGUUGUUGGAAGUACCUUAGAAAGUGCAGAACCUUUGAAUUUGGGAUAGAGCCGUUUGGCUGUUUAUUGGGGCUCCUAUGCUUAAUCGCAUCUCUGGACAUGACUGCAUGUUGCAUGUACAAAAUGCAACACCAGGAGUUCCCGUGGCGGCUGUGUGGGUUAUGGACCCAACUUUGUGAGGAUGCCGGUUCGAUCCCUGGCCUCACAGCAUAGGUCACAGACGCGGCUCGCAUCCUGUGUUGCUGAGGUUGUGCUGUAGGCCGGCAGCUGCAGUUCUAAUUCGACCCCUAGCCCGGGACCGUCCAAUAUGCCGUGGGUGUGGCCCUAAAAAGGAAAAAAUAAAUAAAUGAAAAAACAUAAAAAACCACAGCUCUUCUUACUUGAGUUCUGAGGUCCCAGAUUACCUGUGAGUGAACAAAGUCGGUGGCCUGUGACCAGGUCUGUGGCCACAGAAUCCUGAGGCCACAGUGGGGAGCAGAGGCCGAGAGGCUGCUCCAGGCGGAGGGUCAGGACCUGCCUUCAAGGUGCGGCUGGGAGAGGAGGGCUCAGGGGCCUUGCCUAGAAGGAACGUUCCAGAAGUGAAGAGAGAAGAGGCAAACCUUCAGCCAACCAGACUUUCUUCUAGUCCUGCUUCCUCCGCUCCCAGACAGACCCGUAUUCCUGACAUCAGCCCUGGAGAUGACACUGAGCAGCUGACGACCUGCCAGAAGGCGGCGCGCACUCCACGUGUCCCCAGGCAGGAGCCUGGCGCCACUACCCCGCUCCCGCCGGGCCACCAGGGACGCGGAGACGAUGGCCAGAUGUGCGGGCGGGCAGAUGACACGGGGUUUGACAACGCCUCCGUCCCAGGAGACGCGGGGCACAGAAGUGGCCGAGGUCAGCUCCACUGCUGCGUGGAGAUCCGUCUAAACCUGGUCAUCUCCGUCGUCCGCCGCGUCCUCAGACCAGAAGACCUUCGGUAUCGUGAUAACAAGCGACGCAGCGAGUUAGUGUAACGCACAGAGCUGGUCCCGCCCCAGCCCCAGCUCCUCUCUCAGGCCUCACACAGCACCACAGCUUUCUUUCUAUGAUGCAUGAUGUGCACACGUGUGUACAAGCCUGCACACACGCUUCGUAAACACGCAGAGACUCACGUGUGGCCAGGCCUCCCUGAUCAGCGUGUAGGACCCAGUGUGCCACCCGCAGGCUUUCCCCACGGUUCUCAUCGCACUGCUUGUGAUCUCGCCCCACCCCCACCCCCCAUGCCCCCAGAUUCCUUUCUUGGUAGUUUCCUCCUGACCUGUGGGUCUCCUCCUCGGGGGAGCCUUCUGGAAAGUUUUUUUUCAUUGCAAUACAGUUGAUUUACAAU